CAACAAAGUGGUACUGAAGGAGACGACAUGUGGAGAAGAUUGACCAGCCUGUGAGCCCUGUGAGGAAAACACCACUUUUUAACAUGAUUUGACAACAUUCCAAAAAGCAAGGUUGAGGUCAGGUGACUGUGGAGGAAAGUCCAUGACAGUCAGGACUCCUUUGGUCUUCUUUGGUCUUCAAGUAGUUCUUGCAAAGCUUUGAGGUAAAGAAGACCAGGGGUCUACAGCCACGCUAGCAGCUCCGUGAGACUUCUAAUGUCAGCAUACUAACAUGCUCACAGUGACAAUGCUAAGAUGCUGAUGUUAAGCAGAGAGCUGCUGGAGGACUUUAUUUUCUAUCCAUCUUGAAGUAGUGUAAGGAUGGAUGGAGGACAGGAUGGAGGGCUGGAAAAAAGGAGGCUUAAAGAGGGAAGCAAAAAUGGAUUGGAGAAGAGAACUGGAAAUGGAAAGAC